UACGUAGGUGGCAAGCGUUAUCCGGAAUUAUUGGGCGUAAAGCGCGCGUAGGCGGUUUUUUAAGUCUGAUGUGAAAGCCCCCGGCUCAACCGUGGAGGGUCAUUUGUAACUGGAAAACUUGAGUGCAGAAGAGGAGAGUGGAAUUCCAUGUGUAGCGGUGAAAUGCGCAGAGAUAUGGAGGAACACCGGUGGCGAAGGCAGCUUUCUGGUUUGUAACUGACGCUGAUGUGCGAAAGCGUGGGGAGCAAACAGG
rnacentral:rRNA from 1 species